rnacentral:rRNA from 1 species
GACGAACGCUGGCGGCGUGCUUAACACAUGCAAGUCGAACGGUAAGGCCCUUCGGGGUACACGAGUGGCGAACGGGUGAGUAACACGUGGGUGAUCUGCCCUGCACUUCGGGAUAAGCCUGGGAAACUGGGUCUAAUACCGGAUAGGACUCCUGGCUUCCUGGUUGGGGGUGGAAGGCUUUUGCGGUGUGGGAUGGGCCCGCGGCCUAUCAGCUUGUUGGUGGGGUAAUGGCCUACCAAGGCGACGACGGGUAGCCGGCCUGAGAGGGUGACCGGCCACACUGGGACUGAGAUACGGCCCAGACUCCUACGGGAGGCAGCAGUGGGGAAUAUUGCACAAUGGGCGCAAGCCUGAUGCAGCGACGCCGCGUGAGGGAUGACGGCCUUCGGGUUGUAAACCUCUUUCAGCAUCGACGAAGCGAAAGUGACGGUAGGUGCAGAAGAAGGACCGGCCAACUACGUGCCAGCAGCCGCCGUAA